rnacentral:lncRNA from 1 species
AUUAUGUGACACAUGACAGAAGCUCCAAACAAAUGACAAUGGAUGAAAAGCCCUAUUAGGGUAAUACAAAUAAAAAAUAAUUGAUUCGGCUGAUCUAAUGUGAGUUUGAAUAUAUGUUCGGUACAACUUUUUUCGUACUACAUUUCACUUGAAUUUUAUGUUUUCAUCUAAAAUAUUUGGAACUUCAGUGAGAAAGCAAUUAGGAAUGACCAUGGCUAAGUUUGUAGUUCGAUUUCCACCAUACCAUUGCGAGUUAAACUCGAUGGAACAUAACAGAAGGCAACAUAAAAGUGGUUUUGGUCAUAAGGAAAGAAAAUGAAGAAACUUUUAUCUGAAAAAGAGGCUUGUAUUAAAUGAAGCUGGUUAUGAAGAUGGAAAACUGGAUCCAGUUUCACCAGGAAUUGAGCAUGUUCAAUUGCCGCCAUACUAUUGUGAACUAAUUCCAAUUGAACUUAUGUGGGCUCAAACAAAAAAAUUAAGUAGCAAGGAUAAAAUGUAUUGAGCAUGUAGUGAAAUAGGAGCAAAAUAUGUGGAGGCUUGAUAACUUCAUUGAAACCGUGGAACUGGUACAAUGGAACCAGUAGUUGUGGAGCUAGGCGAGGAUACUACUGAUGAACCUGAAGAUAACAGAUGACUCAGAUUAGACUAUAAUAUUUUUUGGACCAAUUAAUGGAGAGUCGACAUUGUGUAUGAAACAACUCUUGCUACAGCUAAGAGACCUCAACUCAAACAAGAUGACGUAGCAGUAAUGUCCAGAUGAAGAGAUACAAAGAGAUUUUCAGACUCAAGAGUUAGUUGUGACUCACAACAAAAUAAUCAAUUUAGUAGACAAAGCUGAUCGUAGUGCCAUAAUAAAAAAGGUGAAAAUGAAAAAAGAAUAACAUUUUAUAAACCUCUUAGACACUUAAUUUUAAGUAUCAAAAAAGAGAAAUACAGAGCAUGUUAGAAAAAAAGAGAUUGUUUUGUGGAGAGAAAUAGUUAAAGAAAAUUAUAUCUAAGCGAAAUAAUGGUCGUAAAAUUUAUUACCUGGAUGAGACGUGGGACACUGGACAUAUAAAAUCUAAAUUUUGGGCCGAUAAGUCUACCGUAUCUUCAAGCAAGUGUUUAUGGAUGGUUUGUCAACUGGAUUUAAAAAAACUAUCAGAUAAGAAAGAAGCAGACAACUGUAUCAGAAACGUCCAGUCUUCACCAUGAGCUUCAUAUAAUUGCACUUCAAAUACUGAAUUUAUAUUGUGUCAAAAAGUAAUUAAAAUGUAUUAUUUUUCAGUUGUAAGAUUAAUUUUGUGUAGUAACUUUUUCGGGUUUCUAAUAAAAUAUUAAAUGAA